AGCUCCAAUAGCGUAUAUUAAAGUUGUUGCAGUUAAAAAGCUCGUAGUUGGAUUUCUGGCAGGGUGGCCUUGCCCUCUUGACGAGUGUGCAGUUUUGCCCUUCCAUCCUUCUGUUAACUUUUGAGAGUUUAACGCUCUCCUAAGGGCUCAGAUAUUUUACCUUGAGAAAAUUAGAGUGUUUCAGGCAGGCUAGGCCGGAAUACAUUAGCAUGGAAUAAUGGAAUAGGACUUUUGCCUCUUCUGUUGGUCUGAGGGGUUAGAGUAAUGAUUAAUAGGGAUAGUUGGGGGCAUUAGUACUUAACUGUCAGAGGUGAAAUUCUCGGAUUUGUUAAAGACUAACUUAUGCGAAAGCAUUUGCCAAGGAUGUUUUCAUUA
rnacentral:rRNA from 1 species